GCUGGAGGUAUCAGAAGUGCGAAUGCUGACAUAAGUAACGAUAAAGCGGGUGAAAAGCCCGCUCGCCGGAAGACCAAGGGUUCCUGUCCAACGUUAAUCGGGGCAGGGUGAGUCGACCCCUAAGGCGAGGCCGAAAGGCGUAGUCGAUGGGAAACGGGUUAAUAUUCCCGUACUUGGUGUUACUGCGAAGGGGGGACGGAGAAGGCUAUGUUGGCCGGGCGACGGUUGUCCCGGUUUAAGCGUGUAGGUGUGUGUUCCAGGUAAAUCCGGUUCACUUUAACACUGAGGCGUGAUGACGAGGCACUACGGUGCUGAAGCAACAAAUGCCCUGCUUCCAGGAAAAGCCUCUAAGCAUCAGGUAACAUCAAAUCGUACCCCAAACCGACACAGGUGGUCAGGUAGAGAAUACCAAGGCGCUUGAGAGAACUCGGGUGAAGGAACUAGGCAAAAUGGUGCCGUAACUUCGGGAGAAGGCACGCUGACAUGUAGGUGAAGUGAUUUACUCA
rnacentral:rRNA from 1 species